rnacentral:rRNA from 1 species
GACGAACGCUGGCGGCGUGCUUAACACAUGCAAGUCGAACGAAGUGGCGAACGGGUGAGUAACGCGUAAUCAACCUGCCCUUCAGAGGGGGAUAACAGUUGGAAACGACUGCUAAUACCGCAUACUGAAGGAGGGGAUUGCGUCUGAUUAGCUAGUUGGAGGGGUAACGGCCCACCAAGGCGAUGAUCAGUAGCGCGUCUGAGCGGAUGAACGGCCACAUUGGGGCCGAGACACGGCGCCGAUGCCCACGGGAGUCAGCAGGGGUGAAUUUGCCGCAAUGGACGAAAGUCUGACGGGGCAACGCCGCGUGAGUGAUGACGGCCGUCGGGUUGGAAAGCUCUGUUAAUCGGGACGCGGUACCGGAAUAGAAAGCCACGGCUAACUACGUGCCAGCCGCCGCGGUAAUUC